rnacentral:rRNA from 1 species
UACGUAGGGUGCGAGCGUUAAUCGGAAUUACUGGGCGUAAAGCGUGCGCAGGCGGUUAUGUAAGACAGAGGUGAAAUCCCCGGGCUCAACCUGGGAACUGCCUUUGUGACUGCAUGACUAGAGUACGGCAGAGGGGGAUGGAAUUCCGCGUGUAGCAGUGAAAUGCGUAGAUAUGCGGAGGAACACCGAUGGCGAAGGCACUCCCCUGGGCCUGUACUUACGCUCAUGCACGAAAGCGUGGGGAGCAAAUAGG